rnacentral:rRNA from 1 species
CACAUGCAAGUCGAACGAUGAAGCCCUGCUUGCAGGGUGGAUUAGUGGCGAACGGGUGAGUAACACGUGAGUAACCUGCCCCUGACUCUGGGAUAAGCCCGGGAAACUGGGUCUAAUACCGGAUAUGACUUCCUACUGCAUGGUGGGUUGUUGAAAGAUUUAUCGGUGGGGGAUGGACUCGCGGCCUAUCAGCUUGUUGGUGAGGUAAUGGCUCACCAAGGCGACGACGGGUAGCCGGCCUGAGAGGGUGACCGGCCACACUGGGACUGAGACACGGCCCAGACUCCUACGGGAGGCAGCAGUGGGGAAUAUUGCACAAUGGGCGGAAGCCUGAUGCAGCGACGCCGCGUGAGGGAUGACGGCCUUCGGGUUGUAAACCUCUUUCAGUAGGGAAGAAGCGAAAGUGACGGUACCUGCAGAAGAAGCGCCGGCUAACUACGUGCCAGCAGCCGCGGUAAUACGUAGGGCGCAAGCGUUAUCCGGAUUUAUUGGGCGUAAAGAGCUCGUAGGCGGUUUGUCGCGUCUGCCGUGAAAGUCCGAGGCUCAACCUCGGAUCUGCGGUGGGUACGGGCAGACUAGAGUGAUGUAGGGGAGACUGGAAUUCCUGGUGUAGCGGUGAAAUGCGCAGAUAUCAGGAGGAACACCGAUGGCGAAGGCAGGUCUCUGGGCAUUUACUGACGCUGAGGAGCGAAAGCAUGGG